AAAUGAAAGAAUAUUUUACACUUACUUAAUAUUUAGGAACUUAAUUACAGGAAUUUAAUACUCUUGACUUUAAAAUAAUUUAAAUAUAAAUGUGAGUACCCUAACUUCCGGUUUACGAUAUAAUAUUAAGGAAUGACACAACGUGGCGCUGCACCAAUGAACAAAUGUAUUCAUUAACCGACCAAAAUAUUUUAACUUCAUGUUCUCGAUAUUUUAUAGUAGUUGUGUAAAAAUUUAUUAAAUAUGUAGAAUGGGAAAAUGGAGGAAGGCGGAAGGGUCAAAGUUCGACAGACAAAUGCUAAUGGCAAUGACAAUGAAGAAAUGAGAAAAUGGCCGGCAUUGUGUGACGCGAAUCCGUAUAUAGUGGACCUUUUGAAUAAUCUUUUUAAAAAAAAAGAAACAAUCAAUGAAUCAUCACCAACUACUUAAAAUUCAGAUUAACGAUUUUUUUUAUUAUAAGCUUUUAAAUGUCAUUAAAAUAACCAGUGAAAAUAAAUCAUACACAAAUUA